UACGUAGGGUGCGAGCGUUAAUCGGAAUUACUGGGCGUAAAGGGUGCGCAGGCGGCUCCGCAUGUCGGGCGUGAAAUCCCCGGGCUUAACCCGGGAAUUGCGUCCGAAACUAUGGAGCUGGAGUGUGGCAGAGGGAGGUGGAAUUCCACGUGUAGCGGUGAAAUGCGUAGAGAUGUGGAGGAACACCGAUGGCGAAGGCAGCCUCCUGGGCCAACACUGACGCUCAUGCACGAAAGCGUGGGGAGCAAACAGG
rnacentral:rRNA from 1 species